rnacentral:rRNA from 1 species
CAGCCGCCGCGGUAAUACAGAGGGUGCAAGCGUUAAUCGGAAUUACUGGGCGUAAAGCGCGCGUAGGUGGUUUGUUAAGUUGGAUGUGAAAUCCCCGGGCUCAACCUGGGAACUGCAUCCAAAACUGGCAAGCUAGAGUAUGGUAGAGGGUGGUGGAAUUUCCUGUGUAGCGGUGAAAUGCGUAGAUAUAGGAAGGAACACCAACGGCGAAAGCACUCUGCUGGGCCGACACUGACACUGAGAGACGAAAGCUAGGGGAGCAAAUGGGAUUAGAGACCCGAGUAGUCCCUGUCUCUUAUAA